rnacentral:rRNA from 1 species
GAUGAACGCUGGCGGCGUGCCUAAUACAUGCAAGUCGAGCGAACGGACGAGAAGCUUGCUUUUCUGAUGUUAGCGGCGGACGGGUGAGUAACACGUGGAUAACCUACCUAUAAGACUGGGAUAACUUCGGGAAACCGGAGCUAAUACCGGAUAAUAUUUUGAACCGCAUGGUUCAAAAGUGAAAGACGGUCUUGCUGUCACUUAUAGAUGGAUCCGCGCUGCAUUAGCUAGUUGGUAAGGUAACGGCUUACCAAGGCAACGAUGCAUAGCCGACCUGAGAGGGUGAUCGGCCACACGGGAACUGAGACACGGUCCAGACACCUACGGGAGGCAGCAGUAGGGAAUCUUCCGCAAUGGGCGAAAGCCUGACGGAGCAACGCCGCGUGAGUGAUGAAGGUCUUCGGAUCGUAAAACUCUGUUAUUAGGGAAGAACAUAUGUGUAAGUAACUGUGCACAUCUUGACGGUACCUAAUCAGAAAGCCACGGCUAACUACGUG